rnacentral:rRNA from 1 species
CACUCCUACGGGAGGCAGCAGUGGGGAAUUUUGGACAAUGGGGGCAACCCUGAUCCAGCAAUGCCGCGUGAGUGAAGAAGGCCUUCGGGUUGUAAAGCUCUUUUGUCAGGGAAGAAACGGUGGUGGCGAAUAACUACUACUAAUGACGGUACCUGAAGAAUAAGCACCGGCUAACUACGUGCCAGCAGCCGCGGUAAUACGUAGGGUGCAAGCGUUAAUCGGAAUUACUGGGCGUAAAGCGUGCGCAGGCGGUUGUGUAAGUCAGAUGUGAAAUCCCCGGGCUCAACCUGGGAAUUGCAUUUGAGACUGCACGGCUAGAGUGUGUCAGAGGGGGGUAGAAUUCCACGUGUAGCAGUGAAAUGCGUAGAUAUGUGGAGGAACACCGAUGGCGAAGGCAGCCCCCUGGGAUAACACUGACGCUCAUGCACGAAAGCGUGGGGAGCAAACAGGAUUAGAUACCCUUGUAGUCCCA